CAGCUUGUCGAACAAGGGUCAGCUGGACUAUCAAUACUGUUGUCCAUCAGGCAGAUCCAGGCUGGGUGUUGACCUGCAAUGAUUAAGCCAUCUCUCCCCUCCCCCUGUCCAAAGUGUCGGUGGCGUGUGGAGCAUGGCCCGUGGCUGGAGGCGAGGUGACGGUGUCGAGGCCAUUGGGCGGCUGACUUCAAACCAGAGGCCCAGGGCAGCAAACUGCAGGGAGAAAACACAGUCCAAGGUAAACAAACUACAACAAACCCAAAAAAGGUGGCCAGUCAACAAGUCAGGACAAGAGGAGGGUCUCUGGGACACCCAGUGGGGUGCUCAGUCUUCAAGUUAACUCUGUCUGCACUGCUGGCUUCUGGGAGCACAGAAAUUUGUCCUAAAUCAUUACAAUGGUUCACGAGUGCCCUGAAUUCCAUCCACAGAGCUAUUGGAUGUUUGGAGCCCAGGUGAAGAUCCCAGAGCUGGGGAAUGAAAGGUUGGAAAAGCCCAGCCAGCUGUGCCAGCCUCCAGAGACACUCUCUUGACUGCGAGGAAAGUGAUAGCCUGCUGGGCUGGACCUGGACUUUGAGACAGAACUUUCGAAUCCGAAGAAGAGAUGAUUUUCAGAUAGUCCUCCUUCCAGGUCAGGUUUAAGAAAAAUAGUGAAGGGAAAUAUUAAUAAACAUGAUCAAAAUA